rnacentral:rRNA from 1 species
CAGUCGCCACGGUAAUACAGAGGGUGCAAGCGUUAAUCGGAUUUACUGGGCGUAAAGGGCGCGUAGGUGGUUAUGUAAGUGAGAUGUGAAAUCCCCGGGCUUAACCUUGGAACUGCAUUUGUGACUGGCGAGCUAGAGUAUGGCAGAGGGGGGUAGAAUUCCACGUGUAGCAGUGAAAUGCGUAGAGAUGUGGAGGAAUACCGAUGGCGAAGGCAGCCCCCUGGGCCAAUACUGACGCUCAUGCACGAAAGCGUGGGGAGCAAACAGGAUUAGAUACCCCCGUAGUCCCUGUCUCUUAUAC